rnacentral:misc_RNA from 1 species
CUAUAUAUUUCACCAUCUAAAGGUCGGCCUUGGUAAUGUGUCAUGGAAACCGGACUCAUAGCGUCUUUCUGGUAGCAAGGACAUUAAAAUGGAGGAUCAAGAGUUUUUUGUUGAGUGGUUUCAUUGGGAAUAUGACACUAGCAGUGAUGCUGAGACAGGGACAGAAACUGAUGUAGAUAUACAAGAAUUUGAAACAAACCAAAGAAAUCAGUUUGAUGCCAUGGAUGCUUGUGAUGCAGAUGGUGAAUGGAGUGAGGGAUCUGAAGAAGAGGCAGCAGCCCUCUCUGAGCCAGAUUCUGAACACAGUGAACCUGUAAAAUCACCAAAGAAGAAUGUAUCGAAAAAGAAUAAAAAACAGCAACAAGACAGCCAAGAGAAAAAGCAACAAGAACAAAGACAAUCAAAACAGAAUCUUGGCAAAAGUAAAGAACUGUCAUAUUUGGGGAGAAACUCACCCCUUAGAACAAGAACACAGUCUUUGCAGUCUUUGCAGAGUACCAAACUGCAACCAGUACUGAGCUCUGAGAACAAAAACAAAUCCCUUUACAGAUCAGUAGAUGACAUAUUGGAUAGAAUUGACACUGAACUUCUGGCUUUGACAGCAGUACAGACCAGUUUUCCAUCAUCAACACCCCUAUCCAAUGAAAGGAAGCGUUUAAGCAAGUCUGAGAAAGAUCUGCUGAAAUGUCAAGGUGUUGAGUUUGACACAGCAGAUGAAGUAGAUGUUCACCCUAAGCUCCAAGAUCAGCAGUCUUUUCGCACCCUAUCAGACAAGGAUGGUGCUGACACGGGUUUAGGCAGCGGGAGCAUGAUGGACAGCAUGAUAUCUCUUUCUACUGAAAUAGAUCUCCACCAACCACAACAGCAACAAGAACAAGGAGACAGGUUACAAGACUUACAGCAGCAACUGGAAAUUGUAUCCGAGGAAGAGAAACAGUUACAGGAUGGGGCAGAUGAGGAUCAAGAAUUAGACACAACAAUGAAAGAAGAGGAACAAUCUGAAAGUGAUGAUGAAGAAGAUCAGGAAUUUCCAAAGGCAGAUAGUGAUCUUGAUUCAGAUACUGCACAGCAGAUAGAGGAGAAAUUUCAAGCAAUAAUGAAAAAGAAGAGAGGCGGCUACCUUCGAGGAUUGAAAUUCACAGGAUCUCUUAGUGAUGUAGAAUCAGUGAAAACAGAGGACUUUGAAGAAGAAUUCCAGGAAUCUAUGAUACAUGUAGUACCCCUAAAAACUAAUUUUGCAGCCCGUCCAGUGGGUAAACUUCAUGUUUAUAAUACUGGUGGUAGAAAGAAGAGCACUGAUACUGACUCAAUAAAGACAGAAGACUUUGAGAGAGCUUUUAAGAAGACAGUUGUCAAACCAGCAGAUGCUCUACCACCUAAAUCUGUCCCAAAGAAGAAGGGGCAGGCAAGUGACACAGAAUCAGUGCGGACAGAAGAUUUUGAACUACAAUUCACAAAAGCAUUAGUGAAAGAUGCAUUGCCGAAGUAUUUAAGACCAAAAUCAAAACAACCUAAAGCCAGAUACAAACCUAGCUCAGGAAGUGAUGUUGAUUCUGUGAAGACAGAAGAUUUUGAGCUCAACUUCAAGUCAUUGAUGGUCAAACAGGUUGCUGGUGUUCCUCUUACCAGUUUUGAUCCAACAACUAUUGACAGUGAUAUUGACACUAUUCACACACAAGCAGUCCAAGAGAAAUUCCAGCAAGCUUUAGGUUCUUCCAGAUUUCUUACAAGGUCAUUUGAAGACAGCGAUGUCAGUGAUAUUGAUGCUGGAAGGCCUACCAUUGCUGUAAGAGAAAACCUAAGUCCAGGAUCUUCAGCUCAUCUUCCAACUGUGGCAAACAAGAUGGACUUUAUAGCAGAUGUCUUAAGUCCAGAGAAGAAAAAGAGUCCAUUCAAAAGGCAUGAAAGAGUAGGUCCCCAUGGUAUUAAAACAAAAACAAAGAUAAAUAAAACUCUUGAAGAUGAUGAAGAAAUUGAUGAUGAUGUUGCUGCAGAGGCACUGGAGAUUGAAAGGGAAUCCUUACGUAUUAUGCAUGAGAUGGAAGUGGAGAGAAAAGGACAAAUGAUAUCAACCCCAAAAACUACUCAUGCAAAUAGGACCAGGAGCCCUGAUAUCUCUGCCAUUACACCAAAGACAAGUGGGAAAGUGUUUCAAGCUAGAAGUAAUGAAUUAAAGGAAUUGACAAGAAGUCUUCACCAAACUUGGGAUGAGAAGCAGGCACUAGAGCAAGAGUUGAAGACAGUUCAGGACACUCUGAAAAAAGGCAGAGCAGAUGUAAAACACAUAGAGAAACUCACUAAAGAAAACAGGACUAAAGCUGAAGAUGUGCGAUCUGAGCUGAUGCUGGCAGAAUUUAAAAGAGAUAAAUCAAUCAAGGAGUUAGAGCACAUCACAGAAGAUCUGGCCAAGAAAAGACGGAAAGCUAAAGAACUUGAAGCCAAAAUAGAUGCCAUGCAUGAUGAUCUAAGGAAUGCAGACACUUUAAGUAUGCCGAGAGAUGAGCUCUCUGAGCUUUUGAAAGAGCACGUAGAGCUGAAAAAGAAACUCCGAGAAGGCCAUGCUGCUGAACUGGAAAGAGAUGAACUUGAAAAACAACUGGAUGCAACCAAAGAAGAACUUUUCCAUGAACAGAAAAGGGCACGUGAAAAAGAAGAGGAACUGGAAGAGGAAGUGGAAGCAACUAAGAAUCAGCUGGAAGAGCUGCAGGCUGCCAAGGAAAAUCUAGACCAACAGUUGGAGAAACUACAAAAUAGGUUCAGGGAUAUUGACAAGGAAAAGAAUAUGGUGAUCAAGGAAAAAUCUGCAGAAUAUGAACAUCUUCGUGAGAGGAUGCAAAAUGACAUGCUUGAGCUGAAAAAACAGACCACAGUUCAACUAGCUGAGCUGAAGGAAUUACUGAAACUGGAACGUGAAAAAUGUAACAGUUUACAAGAAGAAAUCAAUCACAAAGAUGAACUAAACCUCAAACUCAGGGACCAAGUCAUUGAACUUGAACAAGAGAUGUGUCAGGACACAGAAAUCAAAGACAGCGUCAUUGAGGAAAAUCAAAAAGUAAUAAAACAGUUGAAAAAAGAAAAGCCUGGACAGUUGAAGGAGAAACUGCUGGCAGAUGCUAAGAAAGCUGCAGAACAAGAUAAGCUGGAUGCAUUAGAAAAUCAGAGAAAAACAUUAUUGGCUGAACACAAGGAUAAAUCGAAGCAGCUGGAAGAAAGACUUCUGCAACAAGUUACUGAUCAUAAGAAUGCACUCUGGGCUAAAGAUGAGGAACUGCUCAUGGUACGUGAAAGACUUCUCCAGCAGGAGGAAGCUACUAGGAAACUUGGGGAAAAACUUAGACGUGAGGCUCAGGAUCAGAUACAGAAUGCCAUUGCUAAAGAACGUGAAAACUGGGAUAAGGAAAAAGAAAGGUUACUAAAACGUGAACUGAGUCAGCUCCAAGAGGAGACGUCCAGGGUAACCAGUAAGCUAAAAGAUGAACUGGAAAAUGAAAAAAGCCAAAACAGUUUAUUGGCUGAUAAACUUGAACAGCUGAAAGAUGAGUUGGAGGAGGAGAAGCGCCAGGCUUACCAAGCAUACAAAGACAAGCUGACAGCCAUCAGUCAAGCGAAGGAGGAAGCCAAGCAAGAACAGCAAAGCAAAUUGGAACAAGUCAAGGAUAUGUUUGAAAGAGAAAAAAUGAGAGAAGUAGAGACUUUGAAAGAAACAAUUAAAAAACAGGAGGAGGAGCUACGCACACUAAGGCUGGACAGGCAGAUGGCUUUACAGAAGGAGCGUGAAAGUUCUACUCACUCAGAGAGAACUGAGAAAACAGUGAUAUUUGAAAUUAACGAAGAGUGCAGAAGAGCUGCAGAUCUCUUGGGAUUAACUCCAAGGACUGUUAAUUUAUCCAGUUUCAAGUUGGAGAAUAGUAUGAAAACACCAAACAAGUCAGUAAAUAAAAACUCCGUGACAUAUAGCAGCCCUUCCAAAUCACCAACAUCAGCAGCUUUGGCAAACUUGAGAGCGACUAAUGAAGAAUUGAGAAACCAUGUAGAAGAAUUGAAACAAGAACUUGACACCCUUAAGUCAGCCUCUUCUAGAAGCCAGCAUCAGCAGCUUGAAGAAAUCGAAAGACUAAAACAAAAUUUACAACGUGAAAAAGAGAUGGAACUGGAAACUCUGAGAGAAGGCUUGAUUCAGGAGACUGAAAGAUUAUAAGAAAAUGCAGAGGAAAAACACUGAGCAACAAAAACAAAUAGAUAAGCUUGAAGAAGAAGUGAGGAGACUCUCUUUUUCAUCAACCCCAAGCCCCAGUCCUGGUAGCAAGUCUCCAGCCUUUGAAGAUGCCAGUACUAUACGAUUACUGCGCCAUUUGCAGGACAAAGU